UUCAAUGCAGACCAGACCUUCCAGCAAAGCUCAGAGUGAGGGUGUCACAUGACCAGGACAAGAGUCAGACCACCUUCCUGCCGAGUCAGAAGAAAGGGGAAAUGGACACCUUCCACUGCUGGGUUUCGAUACAGACCAGACCUUCCAGUAAAGCUCAGAGUGUGAGUGUCACGUGACCAAGACAAGAGUCAGAAGAAAGGGGAAAUGGACGGGUUGCACUGCUGGAAGAGAGAUGCGAACCUUUACCAAGCGGAACCAGAAGUAGCAAGUCCAGUAUCUCCUGGAGUCAUUGCAACUGUUAUUUAACGAAUAUUCUCCUCUAUUGCACAGAUUUUGUACGGCAGUUGAUGACAUUUCUUAAGUUGGUGCUUGUCAUGUCACAGUCGCACGCAUUUUACACUUGGAUUUUCAUUCCGUUCCUUAGUCUCAGAAAAAAAUAAAGUUUAUUUCCCAGUAUCUCUUGAUUUUAUGCGUGACUCAAGUCAAGAGAUGCCUGUACUAGUCUUCACCUUUUUUGGCUGAUGUUUUCUUGUCCUAUUUUUUUUCCUGAACCUGUCCCUGACCCGGACCCUGUCCCCGACC